AGGCGUGGGCGCGCAGGGCGCGGAUCUGGCGUACGGCGCGGGAUCCGGCGGUGGGCUGCGAAGGUGGAGCUCCUCUGCUCUGGUGCUGGGCGGGCGGCGAGGCGAGGCUGGUGGUGAUGCGUUGAGCUGCGGGCUGGGCGCGCGGUGGCCGCGCGGGACGUGGGCGCGCUGCGCCGGGCGAGCCCCAGCUGGAUAUGCAGAGUGCCUACCGCGGUGCGGGGUCGUGGUCAGCGCUGCGGCGGAUGAGAGGGGUCAGGCGGGAGCGAGCUGUUCGGCGGCGCAUGGGCUCUUCAUGCGCGUCGCCGGUCGUCGGCCCGAUGGGCUCCAGAGGGCGGUGUGAGGAAGAUCGGGCCCCGGCUUCCUGUUCUGCGAGGUGGCUGCGAUGACCGUCGGGCGCAAGGGGCUGGCGGUUAUCCGGCGCGGACCAGCGGCAGCGAUGGAGACCUGGGCCCCGGCGUCCAGAUCUGGUGGCUGCGGCGGAUGUUGGGAGCGUGGGGCCAACGGCCGUCGGGCGUGUGUCUGCGGUGGUGGCAUGGCUCGGGUUGGUGGUUGGAGGUGCAGCGUCGGGUGAAGACCUUGCUGCCAGUCUUUGGGCUGGGCAGGCGACGGCGACGCUUGCGGGCGCCGCUUCCUUCUUGAAGGCGUCGCUGAGGCAUUCCUGCUCGCUCCACCACGCAAGGCUGCUCGAGGGAAACCCUUGAUCCCAUGGGAUCGGACGAUGAAGGCGAUGUAUGUCGCGCCUCUUGGGGCAUCGUUUCAGGAGCUCCUUACCGGCCAGGGGGACCAGUGAUAGAUGGAGGAUGUUGUUCGUGCUGCUUGGUCGUGUCCGGCGAUGAGGGAGGUUUUGACUUCUGUGGCAACGAUGACGGUGGUGAGCGUUGUCGUAGGCAUGGCUUUGGUCAUGGUAGUCGGCUCUUCUCCGACUGUCCGUGAGAUUACCUCGGCUGCUUGUUGCUGUGAAGUCGAAGCUGUGGUGCGGGGCUCCGGUAGCGUACGAUGACGAGCGACAUGUGGUCCGUUCGGCGAUCUCCUGUGACGCCAACCUUGUUUUGUUCUCCGUAGUUUCUCCGCCGGAGUCGGAGCUGCGUUGUCUUGCGGUGGACGGAUGGCGUUCCGUCUUGUAAGUGUAGUGUUGUUCUGCAGCUAAUAGGGCUGCCUUUUCCUUUUUCCUUUGAUCUUCGGAUCCUCCUCAUGUUGUUUCUUCCGCUGCUUUCUGCUAAAUCUAAUUGAAGCCAGCAAUUUGCUGGAUCUUUAAAAAAAAACAAUACAUGGUAAAAAGACUGCAAACGGAGUCGUCCAUUAAUUAAGAAGAGAAUAGAGUUUAUUUUAGAAGUGACCAGAUUACACAAAAGUUGUUACUCUUCGGGUAUUAUUUUUCCCAAAUUUUGGCUCAUGUGGUAACCCAAAGCUUAGCUUCACAUUUGAUGUUAUUGUGCAGGAUUGGCAAUGGAGUGCUCUUGUGCCUAACCCAAAGAUUAGCCUUGCAUUUGAUGUUAUUGAGCAAGAUUGGCACUGGAGUGCUGUUGUGCUGGAAGACUUGCAUGCUCCUUUCACUCGAAAUAGUACAACUAGGGCCUGUUUGUUUUGGCUUUUGCAGCUUUUCCACUAUGAAUCCAAAAGCCAAAGCCAAAAGCCCCUAUUUAGGAGUUUUUUUUUGGAUUUUAGGCCAAAGUGAAAAAUCUACGAAAGCUGAAGUAUAAGCCCAAACAAAACAGGGCCAUAAUGAGCAUUGUGAGAGAAGUUAUAACUUUUCUAUUGCGGAUGUUUUUGCCGGAUAAAUUGAUCCACCACUCCUUGAUGUAGCGCUCUAAGUGUUGAGGGCGUGUCAG
rnacentral:lncRNA from 1 species